CGUUGCAGAGAUCAAAGGGAAGCUUGUGGGCCGAGCUGGUGGAGAUGGCGUUGUGUAUGUGAGUGAUCGAGGGUUCCAUCCCUGUCUUGGUUCUUUUAAAACCUUACUGGUACCGAAAGAGAAAGCAAAUAAAAGAGAAGAAGAAGAGAGAGAAAUCUCAGCUCUCUCUCUCUCUCUAAAUGAGGUUUCUCAAAUGACUCGGAUCCGGAUCGGGAAAUCUCCUUUCGCCGGCGAGGUUUUCUGACGUCAUCCCCGGAAAAGCCGUCAGAUUCCGGCCUUCCAACGGAGGAGAUUCCCUUUCCCGGCUGCGAUCUUUCAAUUCCCUCUUGUGAUCAGAUUUUGGCUACCGGAUCUUUCCUCUUGGCGAGAUUUCCGCGGACUUCAGCAAAAUCUGGCGGAUUUGGGUUAAUGAACUGAGGAGAUCCCUUUUUCCGGCAGCGGGCUUUCAAUUCUUGCCUGAUCUUGCGGUUGUCAUCUGUUGGCUGGAUCUUUACUCUUUGGAAAGAUCUCUGCCAUUGUCUGCUGCAAUCGGGUGAAAUUUUGUUCGCGGGGAAGACAUUCCGGCAUUUGAUUUUGACCUUGUUUUACCGAUCGGGAUUUCUGGUGGAAAUCAGCUCGAUCCUAAAAAAGAAGUUGAUUUUCCUUUGAAACGGUAGCUCCAGGAAGAUUUCGGCUGUUAUCAGCUAAAGAAAAAGGAGAUAUUCCGGCCGAAAAUGGUGGGGAUUGUGGUUUCAGGUGGAAAAAUUGCGGACAUAUUGUAUUGAGGUGCUGCAUCCUUCGCUUGCCUCGGAUGCUGGGAUUCUGAUAUAGGAAUGGCACAAAUGUUCUACUAAGUGAAUGUUUUGGACUCUGAUUUAUGUCGAAGGAUCGAAAUGCUUUGGUGUUGAAAAUCGAUAAGUUUUGGUUGAAUACAGCAUUGCCUGCGUACAAUCACUCGGAUGUUCUUCAGCUGUUCCUUUGAGAAGCCAAAAAGGAAAAGGGAAGAGUCCGAUUGCAAAUCAGGAGCUAUGGUUAGUUCUCAAGGAUGUGUGCUUUCACAGGGCCUCACUCCCUUCAAUCGAGGGCAUGGAUCGUUUCAGACAAAUUGGUAUUUAUUAGCUUACAUGCUAGUAGCACAGAAUGGGAACUUGCUAAAAGACGUUAAAAAAAGCAUAUUUGACAGCGAAAUGUAUAUGACUAGUUGGGAACGUUUAGGGUUAAAGAAGAGAAAACCGGCACAUAAGACACAAUCUGGAGGCGAUUACGAUGGUCAAGCAUCAAAUGACUGUCUCCUCCCUGGUCUUCACGAUGACAUGGCACUAGAUUGCCUUGCCUGGACCUGUAGAUCGGAUUACCCCUCACUUUCUUGUCUGAGUAAAAGGUUCAAACAGUUAAUUGGUAGUGGAUAUCUUUACAAAUUAAGGAGACAGCUGGGAAUAGUCGAACAUUGGGUAUACUUAGCCUGCAGUUUAAUGCCUUGGGAAGCUUUCGAUCCUGUAAGACAGAGAUGGAUGAGGUUACCUAGGAUGCCGUGCGACGACUGUUUUUCUUCUGCGGACAAGGAGUCUCUUGCGGUAGGGACUCAAUUGCUUGUUUUCGGUCGAGAAUUAUCAGGAUUUGCAAUAUGGAUGUACAGCUUGGUAGCACGUGAUUGGUCUAGAUGCCCGCUGAUGAACAUACCACGCUGUCUGUUUGGUUCUAGCAGUCAUGGGGAAAUUGCUAUUGUUGCUGGGGGGAGUGAUAGGCAUGGCCAUGUUUUAAAAUCUGCUGAGCUGUACAAUUCUGAGAUGGGUUUUUGGGAAGCUUUGCCCGACAUGAACCUACCAAGGAAAUUGUGUUCUGGCUUUUUUAUGGAUGGGAAAUUCUAUGUCAUAGGAGGCAUGUCAAGUAAUGCAGAUUCUUUAACUUGUGGCGAGGAGUAUAACCUUGAGACAAGGACGUGGAGGAGGAUAAGAAAUAUGUAUCCACGUGGCAAUAGAGCAGCGCAGAGCCCUCCUCUGGUUGCUGUUGUAAAUAAUCAGCUUUAUGCUGCUGACGAAUCUACAAAUGAGGUUAAGAUAUAUGAUAAGAUAAAUAAUACGUGGAACGUUGUGAGGGCACUGCCGGUCAGGGCUGACUCCUAUAACGGUUGGGGUCUAGCGUUCAAGGCGUGCGGUGAUAAAUUAUUGGUGGUUGGUGGACGUAGAGGGCCUGAAGGUGAAGUUAUUGUGCUGCACUCUUGGGGUCCUGAGCGUGGUGGAGAACCCGAUUGGAAUGUGCUUGCUGUCAGGGAACGAGCGGGAGCUUUUGUAUACAACUGUGCAGUAAUGGGUUGCUGAUUCAUGCUUCAACAUGUUUGCGUUUUGGAUAAAUCCUCAAUCGAUGGAGAAAUCCAAUUGCUUCAUCGAAUUGCAGGAACUUGUGGGAAUGCCGUCAGAAUUGGAGAAGAAAAUAAGGAGAAGCUGAUUGGAUGGUGGGAGCUUGUGAGCUUGACCAAGGACUCCAAUAAUACUAGAAAAGGAGGUAGAACAAUCAGAGGUCUAGAGAAGAAGCUUGACUCAAGAAGAUGGGAGCUAAGGAAAGAGAUGCACCAUUUUGUUAUCUCUAAGGGCUUUUUGCCAAUCAAGUCUCAUAUCACAAAAACCAGAGCAUUCUUGUUCUCCUGAGGAAUUGUGUUUUUUGAGAUCUUUUGAUAAGUUUCAAGUGGUGUUUUUAAGAUCUAGAGAAAAUUUGGAAAAAUUCAAUUUUACUUUUGGCU